AGACAACAAACUAGAUACAGACACAUAAACAGAUAGAGAAAUAGCCAGAUACAUAUACAGGCAAAGUGAGAAACAGAAGUUUUACAAAACAUAUUUACAGCUAGCUAGCUAUGUGACAGAUAAACUAAACAAAAGUUGCCCAAAACAACAUUUCUUCCAAAUGUGGGUGUUUAAAUCUGAUAUUUUCUAUUUUAUAAUAUUCCGCUUCAUUGUUUUAAAAUGCUAGUUGUACUCAGUUGAUUUCAUGAACCUCCAGCAGGUCGUGACCAUAGUGUGAAAACACUGGUAUUGAAACCCCUAGUGGUACUCAGUUGAUUUCAUGAAUCUCCAGCAGGUCAUGACCAUAGUGUGAAAACACUGGUGUUGAAACCCUAACCAAGAGUGCACAGCCAGUGUGCAGCAGAAUGAGCCUCCAGUCACCAGCCCAGAGCUCUCAGACAGAAUUGAGUUCCCAUACAGUAGGACUUUCCACUCAUGUCUGCGGUCUAGGAGGAGAUUGGGUUGAGCAGCCACCAGGCACGAUGGAGCAACAAUUAACCCUGGAGUUGUGGAGGCAGGUGGAGUUUUGCUCUUGCUGCCCCAGCUAG
rnacentral:lncRNA from 1 species